rnacentral:rRNA from 1 species
AGAGUUUGAUCCUGGCUCAGGACGAACGCUGGCGGCGUGCUUAACACAUGCAAGUGGUGCGACGAACCAGGGCUUGCCCUGGGGCAAAGCCGCGAACGGGUGAGUAACACGUGAGUAAUCUGCCCCGAUGACCGGGACAACCCGAGGAAACUCGGGCUAAUACCGGAUGUGGUGCAAAGGCUCAAGCCUUUGUACUAAAGGAAGCUUCGGCCUCCGCAUUGGGAGGAGCUCGCGGCCCAUUAGCUUGUUGGUGGGGUAACGGCCUACCAAGGCAACGAUGGGUAGCUGGUCUGAGAGGACGAUCAGCCACACUGGGACUGAGACACGGCCCAGACUCCUACGGGAGGCAGCAGUGGGGAAUCUUGCGCAAUGCGCGAAAGCGUGACGCAGCAACGCCGCGUGGGGGAAGACGGCCUUCGGGUUGUAAACCCCUUUCAGGAGGGACGAAGGUUCGCCGGUGAAUAGCCGUGCGGAUUGACGGUACCUCCUCAAGAAGCUCCGGCUAACUACGUGCCAGCAGCCGCGGUAAUACGUAGGGAGCAAGCGUUGUCCGGAAUCAUUGGGCGUAAAGCGCGCGUAGGUGGCUUCGUAAGUCCGUUGUGAAAGUCAAAGGCUCAACCUUUGAAAGCCGAUGGAUACUGUGAAGCUAGAGUACGGAAGAGGCGAGUGGAAUUCCUGGUGUAGCGGUGGAAUGCGCAGAUAUCAGGAGGAACACCAAUAGCGAAGGCAGCUCGCUGGGACGUUACUGACACUGAGGCGCGAAAGCGUGGGGAGCGAACAGGAUUAGAUACCCUGGUAGU